UAGGGAAUCUUCCGCAAUGGACGAAAGUCUGACGGAGCAACGCCGCGUGAGUGAUGAAGGCUUUCGGGUCGUAAAACUCUGUUGUUAGGGAAGAACAAGUACGAGAGUAACUGCUUGUACCUUGACGGUACCUAACCAGAAAGCCACGGCUAACUACGUGCCAGCAGCCGCGGUAAUACGUAGGUGGCAAGCGUUAUCCGGAAUUAUUGGGCGUAAAGCGCGCGCAGGCGGUUUCUUAAGUCUGAUGUGAAAGCCCACGGCUCAACCGUGGAGGGUCAUUGGAAACUGGGGAACUUGAGUGCAGAAGAGAAAAGCGGAAUUCCACGUGUAGCGGUGAAAUGCGUAGAGAUGUGGAGGAACACCAGUGGCGAAGGCGGCUUUUUGGUCUGUAACUGACGCUGAGGCGCGAAAGCGUGGGGAGCAAACAGGAUUAGAUACCCUGGUAGUCCACGCCGUAAACGAUGAGUGCUAAGUGUUAGAGGGUUUCCGCCUUUAGUGCUGCAGCUAACG
rnacentral:rRNA from 1 species